GACGAACGCUGGCGGCGUGCUUAACACAUGCAAGUCGAACGGAAAGGCCCUGCUUUUGUGGGGUGCUCGAGUGGCGAACGGGUGAGUAACACGUGAGUAACCUGCCCUUGACUUUGGGAUAACUUCAGGAAACUGGGGCUAAUACCGGAUAGGAGCUCCUGCUGCAUGGUGGGGGUUGGAAAGUUUCGGCGGUUGGGGAUGGACUCGCGGCUUAUCAGCUUGUUGGUGGGGUAGUGGCUUACCAAGGCUUUGACGGGUAGCCGGCCUGAGAGGGUGACCGGCCACAUUGGGACUGAGAUACGGACCAGACGCCUACGGGAGGCAGCAGUGGGGAAUAUUGCACAAUGGGAGGAAGCCUGAUGCAGCAACGCCGCGGGCGGGAUGACGGCCUUCGGGUUGUAAACCGCUUUCGCCUGUGACGAAGCGUGAGUGACGGUAAUGGGUAAAGAAGCACCGGCUAACUACGUG
rnacentral:rRNA from 1 species